rnacentral:lncRNA from 1 species
UUCCCCCAGCUAUGAGUAGGGAUAGCAGAACCACGAGGGAUAAGGGGUACUUUCCUCCUGGAAGGAUGAAGAUGUCUGCACACCAUCCUGUGUUGUGUAACUGGACCUGUUUCUAUAUCACACAAGUAACUGGCCCAGAGAUCCUCUGUCAGUUCCCAAAGACUACCCCUUGCAAAGGAAGCCAGAAACCCAAAGCCAGUGUUCUUGCUCCCAACUUCAAGGCUUUUCAAGUGCUCAUCUUCCAGAGAGGGAAUGUCUCAUAGUGAUGAGAGGGAUUUCUGUGCUUCCUGAUGCUUUUCCUGGUAACCCCAAGACUGGCUAUGUCCCUUCAUUUCUGACUCUACUCAAAUGCUGCGCUCCACAGAAGUGGCCUGCCCUCCAAGAGACCCUCACUUUGUUUUAGUUGUGCCUAUUAAUUGCUGCCUAUGCCUGAAGUGUUGCUGUGGACCAAGUCUGCUUUCGGCUUCCCUUUGAUAAUUUCACCUCUGCAGCAGAGACGCUUAGAUGUUGUGUUGACUGCUGUUUGUCGCACACCUAGAACAGCUGCCCAUGCCAUAGAGAUUCAUUCAGUACUGUCGGGGUGAAGGAAUGAAUGGGUAGAAAGAAGUCCAAGAGAGACUUGUGUGAAGGCCAUUGUCACUGUUGCUGUGAAAGUCCUCUGUUCUCCUCCCUGGGGAAUGACAGAAAAGCAGAGCUGACUGGGCUCCAACCCCGGUGAGGAAGCAGAGACUCACCUCUGACUGGGGAGGCUGCCUGGGACCAAUGGGCAUUUUACCCCCUCACCUCUGAUUAUUGAGCUGGGACCUUAAUUUACUGGGUCCAUCCCUGAGUUAGUUUCUCAAGCCUUCCUUGUGACAUAAAAUAUAUUUUCCAAACCAGCAAGCCCUAGGAACCAGGUGGGCCUUGAGUUUGGAUGUGGACAUGCUGGGGAGUCUCUGAAGGUUCGGAACGUGAUGCUCAGAUCCAAAAUUAGCGUGUUUGUGCUGUACCCACAGAAAAGAGAAACAAAUGGCUUCCAAUUCAGUUAAAUUGGAGGCAGCUUUCACCCUCCUGUUUCAGGAAGGUCUGUGUUGUCUGGGCCCUGUGGCCAUGGAAUGUCAACAGCCUCACCUUACCAGCAGGACACUGGGGGACUGUAAAGAGCUCACUGUGAUCAAAUUCUUCUGUCCCAGGUUUAUCUAAUUAAGUAGAUUCUUUUCAUUUUAACCAGAGCUACAUCAAACUGUAGGUGUCCCGUGUGUAGAUCAACCUGUGAGAAGAUCAGUUCCAGGAUAAGGAAUGGGUGCUCGAAUUGCCCUGAUGAACAAGGUUCCCAUUACAGUGGCACACAGAGGCAAAUCCUGCUAAUCCCAGCUCUGACUGUUUCCUCGGGAUUUGAAUAGUGGCCUGGAAUAUGCUCUUCUGCAUGCAGUUUCUGCACACCGAAGACACAGAGCAGCCAGGAGGCAGCUCUGUUCUCUGAAAAAUAUCCAUUCAGUUUUACAUUGUUGAGUAGCCACAUGCUAGAUACCAGGUAUCAACUCAGCCUCAGGCUGGCCAGAAAGAGAUGUAUGGACAGACAGUGGGACCGGUCCAAGAGAGGAAUGCUCCAGUCUGUUGGGUACCAACAUGUAUAACUCUCGUCCAAGUGUCUUCCUACUGAACCCUGGUGGCAAGGAUGUGUGACCACCAUGCUGACAGCUAGACCAUGACAUGUUCUGAGGAGAUGAGCAGAUGUCUAUUCAUCUCAGAUCACUACCAGUAAACCAAAGAAAUGACUCCACCCAAGACUAGCCAGGCUCAGUUUAAGUCCAAAGGCAUCAGACUCAGGAAGCCAAUGCUACAGCCCUCAGCCAGAGUCCAGGAGGCUGGGAAGCCAGGAAGUCACUGGAAUACAUUCUCCAGAGGAAGGUCAGAGAUCCUGGACCUCAUGGCCAAUGACAGAAGAAUGUGCCUAUUCCAACACAGAACAGAAGUGCUACUCUCCCCUUCUCCUUUCCUUCUGAUCCUCCAUUAAAUAGACAACAGAUUCCACCCUACCCCCAAGCCUACCCCCUCCCUCUAGGUUUCUCUGGAGAUACCUUCCAGACACACCCAGAAGUAUUUCUCAGUAUCCUGCAUUGAGGAAUGGACAACAUGCUGUGAUAUUUUAAGAUAUAUAUGGAAAUGUAGAGACCAGAAGCCAAAAAUAUGCCUGAAAGGCAUGAAGCAGGGAGAUGACCUCUCCUGAUUUUAAAACUUACUACAAACUCUAGCAGUCAGCCUGAGAUCAUUAAAAUAACCAAAUUCACUAGGAACCAAAGAAGAACAUGGUGGGUCCACAGGGGAGGGAGUAGUGGUAUUACUAUUUAAAGCACACAGUGGCUCAGUUUCACAGCACAGUAGAAGGCUUCUAAUGAUGGAUAAAGGUGAUGGCUGCACAAUGAUGUGCAAGUACUUAAUGUUACUGAGCUUUUUUAUCUAAAAGUGACAACCCAUAGAAAAUGGAAAACUACUAUAGUUGGGACUGUGGAGAUGUCAGCAUGAGGCAGAGAUACAGAUCUAUGGGACAAAAUUGAAAGUCUAUUUGUGGACUCUUACAUUGGUAAUCAGAUUUACCUUUGAAGAAAGAAUUGUCUUUUCAGCACAGGACAACUGGAAAUCCAUGUUCAAGAGAAUGAAUUUGCCCUGCCUCACAUGUAGCAAAAAUUAACUCAAGAAAUAUCAAUGGUUCAAAUGUAAGAAUUAAAAAUAGAAACUAUAUAGAAGAAAACAUAGCUAUAAGUUCCUAU